rnacentral:rRNA from 1 species
GACGGGGCCCGCACAAGCGGUGGAGCAUGUGGUUUAAUUCGAUGAUACGCGAGGAACCUUACCUGGGCUUAAAUGUAGAGUGCAUUUUUAGAGAUAGAAAUUCCCUUCGGGGCUUUUCUGCAAGGUGCUGCAUGGUUGUCGUCAGCUCGUGCCGUGAGGUGUCGGGUUAAGUCCCAUAACGAGCGCAACCCUUAUCGUUAGUUGCCAGCUGGUAAAGCAGGGGACUCUAGCGAAACUGCCGGUGUAAACCGAGAGGAAGGUGGGGAUGACGUCAAAUCAGCACGGCCCUUAUGUCCAGGGCUACACACGUGUUACAAUGGCCGGUACAGAGGGCAGCUACCUGGAGACAGGAUGCGAAUCUCAAAAGCCGGUCUCAGUUCGGAUCGGAGUCUGCAACCCGACUCCGUGAAGCUGGAUUCGCUAGUAAUCGCGCAUCAGCCAUGGCGCGGUGAAUACGUUCCCGGGCCUU